ACUCCUACGGGAGGCAGCAGUGGGGAAUUUUGGACAAUGGGCGAAAGCCUGAUCCAGCCAUGCCGCGUGCAGGAUGAAGGCCUUCGGGUUGUAAACUGCCUUUGUACGGAACGAAACGGCCUUUUCUAAUAAAGAGGGCUAAUGACGGUACCGUAAGAAUAAGCACCGGCUAACUACGUGCCAGCAGCCGCGGUAAUACGUAGGGUGCAAGCGUUAAUCGGAAUUACUGGGCGUAAAGCGUGCGCAGGCGGUUAUGUAAGACAGUUGUGAAAUCCCCGGGCUCAACCUGGGAACUGCAUCUGUGACUGCAUAGCUAGAGUACGGUAGAGGGGGAUGGAAUUCCGCGUGUAGCAGUGAAAUGCGUAGAUAUGCGGAGGAACACCGAUGGCGAAGGCAAUCCCCUGGACCGGUACUGACGCUCAUGCACGAAAGCGUGGGGAGCAAACAGGAUUAGAAACCCGAGUAGUCCCAUG
rnacentral:rRNA from 1 species